UACAAAGGGGGCUAGCGUUGUUCGGAUUUACUGGGCGUAAAGCGCACGUAGGCGGAUCGUUAAGUCGGGGGUGAAAUCCUGGAGCUCAACUCCAGAACUGCCUUCGAUACUGGAGAUCUCGAGUCCGGAAGAGGUGAGUGGAACUCCUAGUGUAGAGGUGGAAUUCGUAGAUAUUAGGAAGAACACCAGUGGCGAAGGCGACUCACUGGUCCGGUACUGACGCUGAGGUGCGAAAGCGUGGGGAGCAAACAGG
rnacentral:rRNA from 1 species